rnacentral:rRNA from 1 species
UACGUAGGGUGCAAGCGUUGUCCGGAAUUAUUGGGCGUAAAGAGCUCGUAGGCGGCUUGUCACGUCGGGUGUGAAAGCCCGGGGCUUAACCCCGGGUCUGCAUUCGAUACGGGCAGGCUAGAGUUCGGUAGGGGAGACUGGAAUUCCUGGUGUAGCGGUGAAAUGCGCAGAUAUCAGGAGGAACACCGGUGGCGAAGGCGGGUCUCUGGGCCGAUACUGACGCUGAGGAGCGAAAGCGUGGGGAGCGAACAGG